rnacentral:sRNA from 1 species
UCAACAGUCUUACAGUCUGCCAUUUGAAA